rnacentral:tRNA from 1 species
GGUGGCUCAGUGGGAGAGCGCUUGCCUUGCAAGCAUGAGGCCCUAGGCUUGAUUCCUCAGCACCA